CAAUAGCGUAUAUUAAAGUUGUUGCAGUUAAAAAGCUCGUAGUUGGAUCUGUGGUGUGCGGUGGGCUCCGGGCACUUGUUGUCUGAGUAGCUCGCCGCUGCCAUCCUUGGGUGGAAUCUGUGUGGCAUUAGGUUGUCGUGCAGGGGAUGCCCAUCGUUUACUGUGAAAAAAUUAGAGUGCUCAAAGCAGGCUUAUGCCGUUGAAUAUAUUAGCAUGGAAUAAUGAGAUAGGACUUUUUCGCUAUUUUGUUGGUUUGCGCGAAGAGGUAAUGAUUAAUAGGGACAGUUGGGGGUAUUCGUAUUCCAUUGUCAGAGGUGAAAUUCUUGGAUUUUUGGAAGACGAACUACUGCGAAAGCAUUUACCAAGGAUGUUUUCAUUAA
rnacentral:rRNA from 1 species